rnacentral:lncRNA from 1 species
AAAAAAAAAAAAAGCACCACCGGCUAAAAUUUGGGAAAACAACAGAGGACUGUUGCCUCUCCAAUUUUCACUCACACACGCUCAGAUGAAUGAGCAAGGAAGGGGGGGACCUAAACAGCCCCUUUAGACGUGGGGCUGAAUUGAUGGGAUUGUGAUUUGUAGGAUUUCUCCACUUAGUCCCUGCCUCCUACUUGCUCUCCAGCCACUCCAAAGUCUCUUCCCCUCUCUUUAAGCAGCGAUUUCUUUCAAUCUCUCUCUCUCUCCCUCCCCGUGUCUCUCUCUCACACUCUCCCUCUCUCUCCACACACACUCAUCUCCCCGGAGAGAGAGAGAGGAGAAACUCAACUCCCAAACACCGACCAGAUGUCGAAGAAACGCAAAGCCCUGGAGGGCGGCGGAGCCCGGCUCCCCCCCGAGGACCCCAGAGCCCGCUUUGGGGCCGGCGAGGAGCAAGUUUCAGAGGAUCAAAUGCAACAUGCUGAAAGGGAAGACAGCUGUACCAACCCACUUCAAAGUAUGUGGAGCUGCAAACAGAAUGCUGGAAAGAUGUAAAGCUAAGGAAAACUCAGAAUGCUUGGGAAGAAAGAGAGAAUGGACAAGCUAUUCUUCUGUUAUUAAAAAAAGAAUAAAUGAAGCAGCUUCCCUAUUCCUGGUCAGCGAAGGAAUGUGUAUCUACUACCCUUAUUACUAAUGUACAAGAGGAUCUGUGUCUGCCUUCACCUGACCUCACAGUGUUGUCAGAGGGCUGCAUUUUACGGCUUCAUCACCAGCUUGCCAUGGUCUUUGAACAUAUCACAGUCAGGUGCUUCUCUAUAGGAAAGGAGGAGAGCUGCGAACACCAAGUGACAUGAAAUUGAUGAUUUAUUUAUUUUUUAAAAGGCAUUGUGUUAAUAACAUGAAAAAACAGAGGCUGUAAUGAUCACUAAUAAAGCACUAGUAUAUUAAUAAAGCUGCUUUGUG